rnacentral:rRNA from 1 species
AACGUAGGACGCAAGCGUUAUCCGGAGUUACUGGGCGUAAAGCGCGGGCAGGCGGCUCGAAACGUCUGAUGUGAAAUCUCCUUGCUCAACGGGGAGAGGCCAUUGGAAACGGUCGAGCUGGAGGGCAGUAGAGGUAGGCGGAAUUCCGGGUGGAGUGGUGAAAUGCGUAGAGAUCCGGAGGAACACCAGAGGCGAAGGCGGCCUACUGGGCUGCACCUGACGCUGAGCCGCGAAAGCCAGGGGAGCAAACGGG